rnacentral:rRNA from 1 species
UUUACGAUCACGAACGUCUACGCGCCCGCUGAUCACUCUUUCACUCAGGCCUUUGUGGGGGAUAUCCGUGAGGUUGCGGGUAUGGUCUCUCCCCCGUGGAAAGUCUUGGGUGAUUUCAAUAUCAUUCGGGUGCCCCACGAGAAGAGCACCCUGCGUUUUGACGCUGCGAGAGCGGCCUCUUUCAACUCCAUGAUUAGUGACCUCGCUUGGCUCGAGCUGCCGCUCUCCGACCGUCUCUUCACUUGGACCAACAAGCGCACCCCCCGACCCUUGCUCGUCUUGACCGGGUGUUUUUUGACACCGGAUGGGAUGCUCUCUUCCCGGACUCCUCGCUCUCUUCGUGCCCUCGGGCCACUAGCGAUCACGUCCCCAUCAUGGUCACCACCUCCUCGAAAAUCCCGGCCUCCACUCCUUUCUUCUUCGAGACGGCGUGGCUGA